rnacentral:rRNA from 1 species
UGGGGAAUUUUGGACAAUGGGCGCAAGCCUGAUCCAGCAAUGCCGCGUGCAGGAUGAAGGCCUUCGGGUUGUAAACUGCUUUUGUACGGAGCGAAAAGGUCUGCCCUAAUACGGUGGGCUCAUGACGGUACCGUAAGAAUAAGCACCGGCUAACUACGUGCCAGCAGCCGCGGUAAUACGUAGGGUGCGAGCGUUAAUCGGAAUUACUGGGCGUAAAGCGUGCGCAGGCGGUUAUAUAAGACAGAGGUGAAAUCCCCGGGCUCAACCUGGGAACUGCCUUUGUGACUGCAUAGCUAGAGUACGGUAGAGGGGGAUGGAAUUCCGCGUGUAGCAGUGAAAUGCGUAGAUAUGCGGAGGAACACCGAUGGCGAAGGCAAUCCCCUGGACCUGUACUGACGCUCAUGUACGAAAGCGUGGGGAGCAAACA